rnacentral:rRNA from 1 species
AGAGUUUGAUCAUGGCUCAGAUUGGAACGCUGGCGGCAGGCCUAACACAUGCAAGUCGAGCGGUAGCACAGGAGAGCUUGCUCUCUGGGUGACGAGCGGCGGACGGGUGAGUAAUGUCUGGGAAACUGCCUGAUGGAGGGGGAUAACUACUGGAAACGGUAGCUAAUACCGCAUAAUGUCGCAAGACCAAAGAGGGGGACCUUCGGGCCUCUUGCCAUCAGAUGUGCCCAGAUGGGAUUAGCUAGUAGGUGGGGUAAUGGCUCACCUAGGCGACGAUCCCUAGCUGGUCUGAGAGGAUGACCAGCCACACUGGAACUGAGACACGGUCCAGACUCCUACGGGAGGCAGCAGUGGGGAAUAUUGCACAAUGGGCGCAAGCCUGAUGCAGCCAUGCCGCGUGUAUGAAGAAGGCCUUCGGGUUGUAAAGUACUUUCAGCGAGGAGGAAGGCAUUGUGGUUAAUAACCGCAGUGAUUGACGUUACUCGCAGAAGAAGCACCGGCUAACUCCGUGCCAGCAGCCGCGGUAAUACGGAGGGGUGCAAGCGUUAAUCGGAAUUACUGGGCGUAAAGCGCACGCAGGCGGUCUGUCAAGUCGGAUGUGAAAUCCCCGGGCUCAACCUGGGAACUGCAUUCGAAACUGGCAGGCUAGAGUCUUGUAGAGGGGGGUAGAAUUCCAGGUGUAGCGGUGAAAUGCGUAGAGAUCUGGAGGAAUACCGGUGGCGAAGGCGGCCCCCUGGACAAAGACUGACGCUCAGGUGCGAAAGCGUGGGGAGCAAACAGGAUUAGAUACCCUGGUAGUCCACGCCGUAAACGAUGUCGACUUGGAGGUUGUUCCCUUGAGGAGUGGCUUCCGGAGCUAACGCGUUAAGUCGACCGCCUGGGGAGUACGGCCGCAAGGUUAAAACUCAAAUGAAUUGACGGGGGCCCGCACAAGCGGUGGAGCAUGUGGUUUAAUUCGAUGCAACGCGAAGAACCUUACCUACUCUUGACAUCCAGAGAACUUAGCAGAGAUGCUUUGGUGCCUUCGGGAACUCUGAGACAGGUGCUGCAUGGCUGUCGUCAGCUCGUGUUGUGAAAUGUUGGGUUAAGUCCCGCAACGAGCGCAACCCUUAUCCUUUGUUGCCAGCGGUUCGGCCGGGAACUCAAAGGAGACUGCCAGUGAUAAACUGGAGGAAGGUGGGGAUGACGUCAAGUCAUCAUGGCCCUUACGAGUAGGGCUACACACGUGCUACAAUGGCAUAUACAAAGAGAAGCGACCUCGCGAGAGCAAGCGGACCUCACAAAGUAUGUCGUAGUCCGGAUCGGAGUCUGCAACUCGACUCCGUGAAGUCGGAAUCGCUAGUAAUCGUAGAUCAGAAUGCUACGGUGAAUACGUUCCCGGGCCUUGUACACACCGCCCGUCACACCAUGGGAGUGGGUUGCAAAAGAAGUAGGUAGCUUAACCUUCGGGAGGGCGCUUACCACUUUGUGAUUCAUGACUGGGGUGAAGUCGUAACAAGGUAACCGUAGGGGAACCUGCGGUUGGAUCACCU